GUUUCCGUAGUGUAGUGGUUAUCACAUCCGCUUAACACGCGGAAGGUCCCCAGUUCGGACACGGGCGGAAACA
rnacentral:tRNA from 1 species